UUAUGUAUUGUUAUAGGUUACGGAUGCAACGUCGUUAAACAAUUCCAGGACAAUUAAAUUGUUGAUUCAAUCGAACAUAUGGUAUGAACAUGGUUUGUUUCACGGGGUGUUUCGGUGUCUUGCCUUGAAUCAAGGCGUGUAAAAACGUUAUGUGUGAUCCUUAUACACCAGCUGGUGUUCCAAUUCCAACCAACAAGAGGCACAACGCUGCUAAAAUUUUCAGACACCAAUCGUUGCCUCCGAGGAGCCUUGGUAUGCUCAUCUUCUUGUUUUUUGGCUAUACAUAUUAUUUUCGUUACUAUAAAUUCUAAUAGUGUUUGUUUUUUUAAACGAUUGUAUGUUUUGGAUGAAUGAAAGCAACCACGAUGCAUGAAGAAGAUUCAGGUGAUGUUUCAAUUGAUCUUUUAUCUUUAAUUUAUCGAUUUUCUAAUUUUACAAAAAUGUUCUCACCGAGUAGAAUAUACUUUUGAGUUUU